GAGAUUUCCGAAUGGGGAAACCCAGCAUGAGUUAUGUCAUGUUAUCGAUAUGUGAAUACAUAGCAUAUCAGAAGGCACACCCGGAGAACUGAAACAUCUUAGUAUCCGGAGGAAGAGAAAGAAAAUUCGAUUCCCUUAGUAGCGGCGAGCGAAACGGGAAGAGCCCAAACCAACAAGCUUGCUUGUUGGGGUUGUAGGACACUCUAUACGGAGUUACAAAGGACGACAUUAGACGAAUCAUCUGGAAAGAUGAAUCAAAGAAGGUAAUAAUCCUGUAGUCGAAAAUGUUGUCUCUCUUGAGUGGAUCCUGAGUACGACGGAGCACGUGAAAUUCCGUCGGAAUCUGGGAGGACCAUCUCCUAAGGCUAAAUACUCUCUAGUGACCGAUAGUGAACCAGUACCGUGAGGGAAAGGUGAAAAGCACCCCGGAAGGGGAGUGAAAUAGAACCUGAAACCGUGUGCUUACAAGUAGUCAGAGCCCGUUAAUGGGUGAUGGCGUGCCUUUUGUAGAAUGAACCGGCGAGUUACGAUUUGAUGCAAGGUUAAGCAGUAAAUGUGGAGCCGUAGCGAAAGCGAGUCUGAAUAGGGCGUUUAGUAUUUGGUCGUAGACCCGAAACCAGGUGAUCUACCCUUGGUCAGGUUGAAGUUCAGGUAACACUGAAUGGAGGACCGAACCGACUUACGUUGAAAAGUGAGCGGAUGAACUGAGGGUAGCGGAGAAAUUCCAAUCGAACCUGGAGAUAGCUGGUUCUCUCCGAAAUAGCUUUAGGGCUAGCCUCAAGUGAUGAUUAUUGGAGGUAGAGCACUGUUUGGACGAGGGGCCCCUCUCGGGUUACCGAAUUCAGACAAACUCCGAAUGCCAAUUAAUUUAACUUGGGAGUCAGAACAUGGGUGAUAAGGUCCGUGUUCGAAAGGGAAACAGCCCAGACCACCAGCUAAGGUCCCAAAAUAUAUGUUAAGUGGAAAAGGAUGUGGCGUUGCCCAGACAACUAGGAUGUUGGCUUAGAAGCAGCCAUCAUUUAAAGAGUGCGUAAUAGCUCACUAGUCGAGUGACACUGCGCCGAAAAUGUACCGGGGCUAAACAUAUUACCGAAGCUGUGGAUUGUCCUUUGGACAAUGGUAGGAGAGCGUUCUAAGGGCGUUGAAGCAUGAUCGUAAGGACAUGUGGAGCGCUUAGAAGUGAGAAUGCCGGUGUGAGUAGCGAAAGACGGGUGAGAAUCCCGUCCACCGAUUGACUAAGGUUUCCAGAGGAAGGCUCGUCCGCUCUGGGUUAGUCGGGUCCUAAGCUGAGGCCGACAGGCGUAGGCGAUGGAUAACAGGUUGAUAUUCCUGUACCACCUAUAAUCGUUUUAAUCGAUGGGGGGACGCAGUAGGAUAGGCGAAGCGUGCGAUUGGAUUGCACGUCUAAGCAGUAAGGCUGAGUAUUAGGCAAAUCCGGUACUCGUUAAGGCUGAGCUGUGAUGGGGAGAAGACAUUGUGUCUUCGAGUCGUUGAUUUCACACUGCCGAGAAAAGCCUCUAGAUAGAAAAUAGGUGCCCGUACCGCAAACCGACACAGGUAGUCAAGAUGAGAAUUCUAAGGUGAGCGAGCGAACUCUCGUUAAGGAACUCGGCAAAAUGACCCCGUAACUUCGGGAGAAGGGGUGCUCUUUAGGGUUAACGCCCAGAAGAGCCGCAGUGAAUAGGCCCAAGCGACUGUUUAUCAAAAACACAGGUCUCUGCUAAACCGUAAGGUGAUGUAUAGGGGCUGACGCCUGCCCGGUGCUGGAAGGUUAAGAGGAGUGGUUAGCUUCUGCGAAGCUACGAAUCGAAGCCCCAGUAAACGGCGGCCGUAACUAUAACGGUCCUAAGGUAGCGAAAUUCCUUGUCGGGUAAGUUCCGACCCGCACGAAAGGCGUAACGAUUUGGGCACUGUCUCAACGAGAGACUCGGUGAAAUCAUAGUACCUGUGAAGAUGCAGGUUACCCGCGACAGGACGGAAAGACCCCGUGGAGCUUUACUGUAGCCUGAUAUUGAAAUUCGGCACAGCUUGUACAGGAUAGGUAGGAGCCUUUGAAACGUGAGCGCUAGCUUACGUGGAGGCGCUGGUGGGAUACUACCCUAGCUGUGUUGGCUUUCUAACCCGCACCACUUAUCGUGGUGGGAGACAGUGUCAGGCGGGCAGUUUGACUGGGGCGGUCGCCUCCUAAAAGGUAACGGAGGCGCUCAAAGGUUCCCUCAGAAUGGUUGGAAAUCAUUCAUAGAGUGUAAAGGCAUAAGGGAGCUUGACUGCGAGACCUACAAGUCGAGCAGGGUCGAAAGACGGACUUAGUGAUCCGGUGGUUCCGCAUGGAAGGGCCAUCGCUCAACGGAUAAAAGCUACCCCGGGGAUAACAGGCUUAUCUCCCCCAAGAGUUCACAUCGACGGGGAGGUUUGGCACCUCGAUGUCGGCUCAUCGCAUCCUGGGGCUGUAGUCGGUCCCAAGGGUUGGGCUGUUCGCCCAUUAAAGCGGUACGCGAGCUGGGUUCAGAACGUCGUGAGACAGUUCGGUCCCUAUCCGUCGUGGGCGUAGGAAAUUUGAGAGGAGCUGUCCUUAGUACGAGAGGACCGGGAUGGACAUACCUCUGGUGUACCAGUUGUCGUGCCAACGGCAUAGCUGGGUAGCUAUGUGUGGACGGGAUAAGUGCUGAAAGCAUCUAAGCAUGAAGCCCCCCUCAAGAUGAGAUUUCCCAACUUCGGUUAUAAGAUCCCUCAAAGAUGAUGAGGUUAAUAGGUUCGAGGUGGAAGCAUGGUGACAUGUGGAGCUGACGAAUACUAAUCGAUCGAAGACUUAAUCAA
rnacentral:rRNA from 1 species